rnacentral:lncRNA from 1 species
UUUUUUGAGUCGGAGUCUCACUCUGUCGCCCAGGCUGCAGUGCGGUGGCGCGAUCUUCGCUCACUGCAGGCUCCGCCUCCCGGGUUCACGCCAUUCUCCUGCCUCAGCCUCCCGAGUAGCUGGAACUACAGGCGCCCGCCAUGAUGCCCGGCUCAUUUUCUGUGUUUUCAGUAGAGACGGGGUUUCACUGUGUUAGCCAGGAAAGUCUUGAUCUCCUGACCUCGUGAUCCUGACCUCGGCCUCCCAAAGUGCUGGGAUUACAGGCGCGAGCCACCGCGCCCGACAGCAGUUAUGAAGUUCUAAAAGCAAGUCUUAAUCAGGAAGUGUCCUUGAUCACCAACGGCUCGCCCAGGCAUGCUGGCUCUCUUCCACUUCCACCUUCCACCAUGGGAUGACGCAGUAAGAAGGCCAUCAGUAGAUGCCAGUCCCUCAACCUUGAACUUUCCAGACGCAGAACUUUAUGCCUCCAUUUUCCUCUGCUGCAUGGCCCCAGGAGAGAUUUUAAUUAGCUUUCUAACCUUGGUCCAGAUUGCACAUGCAAAUGGUAGAGGAUGCAACACCCCCGCUUGUGGAGCUGCCGCUUGUGUCUGGCAUGAAAAUUCACAAGAAGAGAGGAAAUACUGAGGAGAAAAUGGCAGAUUGUGUUUGCUGAAUUUGAUUGACGAAGAAGUCACCAUGAAAAUCACAGUGAACCAUUUGGAAAGCAAACUGCCAAAAAAUAAUAGUUAGUCAUGCUCUCAGGCUGGUAAUUGAAAGUUUUGUUCAAAUCGUACUUAAUAUUCAAUAAUUGUUUAACCAUACCACUGCUUAUCUUGGGAAUGCUGAUACUAUGGAGACAAUAAGAUAAGGUGGCUGCUGAAAAUCAGAUUUAGACACUACUUUGAUUAUAAUCAUUUUUUUUGUAUAUCCCAUGAAGGUAUUAUAUGUUAGUGGUUGUUCUAUGCUUAAUAUUUAUAUAGCAACAAAGAGUAAAUAAACUGCAAUUUAUACAUGUUAUAUUGUUGACCUAUGCUAAAAGUUAAUUACCAUAAUGAAAUGGUUUGGCUGUGUCCCCACCCAAAUCUCAUCUUGAACCCAUAAUCCCCAUGUGUCCUGCUGCUGGACCCAGUGGGAGGUAAUUGAAUCACAGGGGCAGUGUCUCCCACGCUGUUCUCAUGAUAGAGAGUUCUCAUGAGAUCUGAUGGUUUUAUAAGUGUCUGGCAUUUCCCUGCUUGUACUCAAUCUCUUGCCUGCCACCCUGAGAAAAGGUGCCUUCUGACAUGAUUGUAAGUUUCCUGAGGCCUCCCCAACCAUGUGAAACUGUGAGUCAAUUAAACCUCUUUUCUUUAUAAGUUACCCACUAUGAAGUAUUUCUUCACAGUAGCGUGAUAACUGAAUAAUACAUGUAACAAUUACAUGAACAAAUUAUUACAAGUUUGAGGUACAUCAGGUUUAAAUUAAGGAAAAAUGUUUAAAGAAUUUUCCUCCUCAAUGUUUCUUAGGGUCGAAGAGGCGUUUAUGUUUGUUUAUGAAUAGGUCCUCGAAGGUAAAACAUAGGCUUUAACAUUCUGAGGCCAAGGAUGGAGCUGUGUCUGAUUUAUAAAGUUUCAGACGCAGUAGAACAAUUGACAUGAGAAACUAGUCUUCCUCUGAGGCUGGUGAAGCUGCAGAUCAGCACACACUCAGACUUGGUACAGAGAAACAGACCAUUCUCCCAUUAGCCUUUGGUAUACUUCAGUCACCUGGGGUAGAGUGAUUUCUGUGAUUUCUAAACCUUCUGUCCUACUCAUCUUACAGGCCAUGUCCAUCCUCAGAACUCAUGCUUUCCUUUAUUGUAGCUUCUGUUCUACGACUCCUCUAAUACAUUUUUCUUAGGAGCUUCAUUGAGAUAUAAUUUAUAUCCCAUAACAUUCACAUUUGAAAUGUGGCAUCCAGUGUUUUUUAUUGUAGUCACAGACUUAUGCAACUAUCACAUCGAAUUUUAGAAUAUUUUCACCGCCCUCUGAAAAAAACUAAAUAACAAUUAGCAGUAGCUCCCCGUUUCUUUUCUCUGCCAAACCACUAGCAACUAUUAAUCUAUUUUCUGUCUUUAGCCAUUUGGCAUUCCGAACAUUUAAUACAAAUACGAUCAUUUAAUAUGUGGUCAUUUGUUAGUUUGUUUCUUUUUAAAAUAUGGGCUUUUUGACUGGCUUCUUUCACUUUGCAUAAUGCUUUCAAGGUUCAUCCAGAUUUUAGCAGGUACACAUACUUCAUUCCUUUUUUAUGCCUGAAUGAUAUUUUGUGGUAUUUUUUGCUGUUAUGAAUAAUUCACUGUUUGGCCACCGUAAAUAUGCAUGUAUAAGUCUUUUGGGGACAUGAUUUUAUUUUGGAGGAUAGAUACUUAGAUGUUGAAAUAUUGGUUCAUAUAAUAGAUCUGUGUUUAAAUAUUUGAGGAACACUUCUUGAUGGUAUUGUGACACAAAUCUAUUAUGCAUAUAUGUAUGUAUUUACAUUGAGUAUGCUUUUGGUGUAAUAUCUAUCAAAGGUUAUGAAGAUUUACUGUUAUAUUUUCUUCUAAGAAUUUACAAUUUUACCUCUUACAUUUGUCUCUGUGAUUCAUUUUUCAGUUAAUUCUUGUGCAUGGUGUGAGGUAGGAGGACAAUUUCAUUCUUUUUUGUGCGACAAUUCAGUUUUCCCAGAACUAUUUAUUGACAAGUCAAUAAAGUGAAUUGUAGCAUAGAAAAUAUUGCAUUGAAUUAUCUUGGCACCUGUAUCAAAAGUCAGUUGAUCAUAAAUGUAAGAAUUUAUUUCUGGAACCUUAUUUCUAUUCCAUUAGUUGAUAUAUCUCUCCUUGUGUUAGUACCAUAAUGUCUUAAUUGCUAUAGCUUUGUAUUAAGUUUUGAAACAGGGUAGUAUAUGUCCUUCACCUUUGUUCUUUCUUGCCAGGUUGUUUUGGCUGUUGUGGGUUUCUUGCAUUUCCAGAUGAUUGCAAAGAGCUGUUUCUCAAUUUCUGCAACAAGUGCCAGCUGAAAUUUUGGUACCAGUUUCAUUAAAUAUGUAGAACAAUUUGAGCCUGAGUGAGUUCUGUGGAGCCCAUACUACCUGCGAUUCAAGCCAGCAACCUUGGAAUCUCCCUGAACAAUUUCUAUGGUGUCCAAUCACAUUUGCAAUCACUCCCCACACUCAGACUGUGU